rnacentral:lncRNA from 1 species
UCACGUUUUGGGGAGUUUCGCGAAGUAAUGGAGUCGCCAAAAAAUCGCGAGGGGAAUGGAAAGGGGGUUGCAAGGAUGUAGAAGCACCAAAGUAUCUCCG